UGUUAGAAGAUACAUAGACAAAGACUCAUACGGAAUUCGGCUAAACCAUCAAAGCUUUUAGAAGCAAGAAGAAGCUUGGUUAGUGUUUUGGAGUAAAAUAUUACUAGAUGUCAUGUGUAUGAGUGAGUAUGACAACUAGAACCAUAACCGGAUCUUAAAAACCUAAC
rnacentral:sRNA from 1 species